rnacentral:misc_RNA from 1 species
UUUCCGUAGGUGAACCUGCGGAAGGAUCAUUAAUGAGUUGUCAUGGGGUUCGAUGCUGGCAGCAACUAUUUGGAUGCAUGUGCUUGCCCUAACAAUCAUCUUCAUCCAAACACCUGUGCACACUCUUGAGGGUGUCUUGAGUUGGUUGCCGCUCGUGGGUGAUCUGCUCACAUUCCCUUGAACCAUUAUACGCUAUUAACUAUGUUGAACGUGCUCUGUGCCGCAUGGCCAUUAAUAUAAUACAACUUUUAACAACGGAUCUCUUGGCUCUG